rnacentral:miRNA from 1 species
GCCCUUCCUUCUGGUUGUCAUG